rnacentral:rRNA from 1 species
GAUGAACGCUGGCGGCGUGCUUAAUACAUGCAAGUCGAACGGAAAGGCCCUGCUUUUGCGGGGUGCUCGAGUGGCGAACGGGUGAGUAACACGUGAGUAACCUGCCCUUGACUUUCGGAUAACUUUAGGAAACUGGGGCUAAUACCGGAUAGGAUCUCCUGCUGCACGGGGGGGGUUGGAAAGUUUCGGCGGUUGGGGAUGGACUCGCGGCUUAUCCGCUUGUUUGUGGGGUAGUGGCUUACCAAGGCUUUGACGGGUAGCCGGCCUGGGAGGGUGGCCGGCGACCAUAGGACUACGAUACGGCCCAGUAGCCAACCGGCGGCAACAGGCGGAAGUAUUACACAGUGGGGCGAAGCCUGAUGCGACAGCGCCGCGAUCGGAAUACCGGGUUUCGGGGUAUGAACCGCUUUCGCAUGUAACGAGGCGUGAGUGACGGUAAUGGGUAAAGAAGCACCGGCUAACUACGUG